GACGAGGGAUCCUAGCGUUGUUCGGAAUUAUUGGGCGUAAAGCGGGUGUAGGCGGGCUUAUAAGUCAGGUGUGAAAUCCCAGGGCUCAACCCUGGAAGUGCAUUUGAUACUGUAAGUCUUGAAUGUGGUAGAGGUUACUAGAAUUCCUGGUGUAGUGGUGAAAUACGUAGAUAUCAGGAGGAAUACCAGAGGCGAAGGCGGGUAACUGGGCCAACAUUGACGCUGAGACCCGAAAGUGUGGGGAUCAAACAGG
rnacentral:rRNA from 1 species